AGCCCGCCCUUCGGGCAGGCAGCGCGCCUGGCCCGUGCUCGCCAUCACCGCGGCCACGAGUCUGGGAAAGCUGUCGGGACUUUGCGUUGACACGGGGCGCGUUGUCGCCUUGUGAAGCGCUGUCACAACAGCAGUGGGAGGAUCCAGAUGCCUGUCCAAAAUUACAUAUCCUACCACGGAAUAUUCUAGUUCUGAAUAUAGCAGCGUCUGUGGAGUGAGGCUGAGUAGCUGCGGCUUCAAAAGGCAGCGAUAAACAUAAACGGGUUUUAUGAGAAGAGCAUUUCAUGGAAGAGCCUUCUGUUUCAGCUCAAACUCAGCAGUCUGCAGAGAGAAUGAAUCUCUGAAGGAACAAUGUGUGUGAACAACAGGAUUGUGAGUCCACAAACAUCAGGCAAGAUGAGACUAAGAUGUAGUUGGUUCUUUCUUGAUCUGUGGUCAAACAGAUGUAGAAGGGAUUCUGCAUUGCAGGUCAUCGGACAGGGAAGAUGGAUGAUGUCAUCAGCUUCCAUUUUUUCUGGAUGAGCGAUGCGGUGUUGCUGGCAUUAAUAUGCAAGCCUUAUGCAAGAUCCCUUUCCAUGGAUCUGUUGAUCUGCAGUUGAAAAUGAAGAGCAUCAGCACUGCCACAAUCAUUCCUGAAGGAAUUCCUUGUAAUUGCGCUUUUGUCGAGUAGAUAGUGAAAGGCCCUCCAAUGAAUGAGGACUGUUUGAGAGCUUAAAGUGAAUUUGCCAGAGGGCUCUGCUCCCACAGAAGCUGAUUUCCUACAAGCAACAAAAAGCAGUGGGUGAAAGGAGGGGAGAGACUCUGCUAAUGCAGCAUGAGCUCAACGCCUACCUGUUGAGCUUGGGCUGCCAGCUGGCUGCACAGCACCAGCAUGCCAUGGAGCUCAGAAGGAGACAUAGCACCUCCUGCCUCUGGGGCGAGAAGGGAAGAAGGACCCUGUGCCUGGAAUGUGGAGGACAAGCCACAUGGAAAACCACUGGAAAUGGUGUGGGCAGCAAGAGCUUGCAGGAAAUUGAGUGGGAGCAGUUGGCAACCCAGGCUUUGUAACCUUACUCGUAGAGCUGCAGGUCUGGGGUCAAUGGCAUGGCACUUACCUACAGGUCUAAGAGGAAUAGUUCCUCUGUAUCAGUAAUCGCACAUCAGUUGACUCAUUUCCAACAAAAUGACAGUGACUGAAUGUUUCAGGACCAUUUCUCUGUGUCACAUGCACAGGAUCCUUCCCCAUUAGUGCUAAUACAUUGAAAUCAGGAGUGAUUGAACACUAAUUACCCUUCUGUUUGCACUUUGUAGUCUAGGGGAGCACAUGCUCUGGGUCAGAUGCAAACAGCAACACUGCUGUGCAACCAUUACAGCCGCAUCUGAAAUGACUUUGUCUCUGGAGCCCUUUAUUGUACCUCCUUUGGGGCUGUUUGGAUAUGUGAUGUUGUCUGAUAAUAGCAUUUACUCUACAGGAAUGUUGCAAAGAUUAAUUAAUUAAUUAGGGUUUUUUUGAAGUUGGGAAAACAAAAAGUGCUAUACAGAAUCACAGAAUAAAUGUUCCCAGGUAUUAUCAAGUAUUAUAGAGAAAUGUUUCAAAACCUCAUCUUUUUUUUCUUGUAUAUUUUUGCAGCUUUAACUUCCUAUCUCGUGCCACACAAAUUUCGAUUACCAGUAACAGUCCAGUAUGCUAUGUGCCAAAUGAUAGUUCCCCAAAAAUGUGUGAAGCCAAUUCUAAAGAUAAGGACUUUUUUGUCAUUAUAUGAGUACAUUAAUAUUUUAUAUGUCAUAUAAAAUAUAUUUAUGAGUGAGAAUACAUGUAUAUAUACCCACAUAUGUAUGUGUUACAAACAGGUAUGCAUGUAUAUAUGUAUAUAUAUGUAUGGCAACAAUAUGAUAAAGAGAAGUUUUAGUAAUUCUUCACAGAUGACACUGUGGUAAUACAUUCUCCCAGGAAUAAUAUGUAGGUCCCUUUAGGUCCACAACUCCUCUGUGUCUCUGACACUACCGUAGUAGCAAUGAUUCAUAGCAAAUAAAUGAUUAUAUAGUAAAUUAUAUAUAUGAAAUCUCUCACCAUCAUAGUUUGCUACCAAAAGCCCUUCUGGAUUUAGCCCACUAUUAUUUAAUGAGGACAUUCAGGUACUUCUGAUAGGCAGCACAGUGACAAGGUGACCUUAUAAAAACCCAGAGAGGAACUGGUAAGGAAGGGAUUUUUCUUUCCUCCGUCCCACUGUGAUACAAAUGCCAUCUUUUCAUAGUACAGUGUGUCUGUGUGCCAUAUGUGAAUACAGGAAAAAGAGACAGCAAAGGAAAGCCUGAAAUGUUCAGUACCAAAUCACAUUAAUUUCUCAGGGAGUUUUGUUGAUUUAAUGGUUAAGGCAAAAUACUGCAAGGACAUUCUCAUUGAGAAAUAAUCAAUGAAAGGU